AUAUUUCGGGGGUGGUGUAGGCAUACAGUGACUUAGAUCAGAUGAGUCAAUUCUGAAGAUGAAAACAAAUAAGAUGGUAUUUUGUAGGCACUGGUUGUACGAUUGUGAAGUUUCACUUCCCUAGCUCCACAGUUUGAUAUGUUUUUAAUCCAAAUAUCUAUAUCUGAAUAGAGAUGAAGAGGCAGAUCAUUAGGAUUGCAAAGAAUAAACUUCAAUAUGAGACCUCCACGAGAUAAAAGAAUACUGCUGCCGGUUAUUGAAAAUUCAUAUAGUUUAGUUUCUCUAAUUCUGAAAGGAAACCUCUGAGAAAGCCGGUUGAAGAAAAGGUCAUCAAAAACUAGGUGUGAGUGCAUUUCCCAUAUACCCCUCUAUGUUUUUGAGAGAAUGCUCAUUCUUGCUACACAGUCAACCGGCAAUCACUUUUGAAUUAGGUCUAGUAAGUCACUGGGCAUGUCACUUUUGAAUUAGACCUUAUUCUAAAGCGAUUGCCGGUUGACUGUAUUGCAAGAAUGUGCAUUCUCUCAAAAACAUGGAGGGGUAAAUGGGAAAUGCACCCACACCUAGUUUUUGAUGACUAGGUCAUCAAAAACUAGGUGUGAGUGCAUUUCCCAUUUACCCCUCUAUGUUUUUGAGAGAAUGCUCAUUCUUGCUACACAGUCAACCGGCAAUCACUUUUGAAUUAGGUCUAGUAAGUCACUGGGCAUGUCACUUUUGAAUUAGACCUUAUUCUAAAGCGAUUGCCGGUUGACUGUAUUGCAAGAAUGUGCAUUCUCUCAAAAACAUGGAGGGGUAAAUGGGAAAUGCACCCACACCUAGUUUUUGAUGACUUUUUCUUCAACCGGCUUUCUGAGAGGUUUCCUUCCAGAAGUAGAGAAACUAAACUAUAUGAAUUUUCAAGAACCGUCAGCAGUAAUCUUUUAUCUCGUAGUGGUCUCAUAUUGAAGUUUGUUCUUUGCAUUACUCAUGAUUUGUUUCUUCAUCUCUAUUUAGAUAUUUGGAUAAAAAACAUAACAAACAAUGGAGUUAGGGAAGUGCAACUUCAUAAUCGUACAUUGAGUGCCUACAAAAUACCAUCUUAUUUGUUUUCCGGUUCAGAGUUGACUCAUUUGAUUCUAAGUUGUAUGCUCACACCACCCUAGAAAUUUGAAGACUUCCGUAAUCUGAUUACUGUUUUGCUUGUGGGUGUCAUAAUUACAACUGACAUUUCAUUUGGGGCUCAACUUAUUGACCUACAUUUGCAAGGUUGCAUUGGGAUGUCAAUAUAAAUAUUAUAUCAAUCUCACUUUUCUGAGUAUUAGCCAUUGUGAUGUAAUUGGAUCAAAUUUCUUGUAUAUAAUCCCAUGUGAAGCAAACACAUGAAUUUAGCUCUAUACAUUUCAGGCCUGGUUCUCAUUUCUAUGUAUACAACUUGGAUAGUUUUAUGAUUAAUAUGCUCGAUAUGAUUUUAAUAAAUGUUAUCCAAACUAAUUGCCUCUAGUUGGUAAUGAUGUAAUUCGAUUUUCAUAGGUUGUUUUUGAUAUCAAUAAUCAAAUUUUUUAGAUAUGUGCAACAGAUCACUGUGAAUAUAUGCGUAACAGGUCAGUGUGAAGUGUAAUAAGUGUGAGUGAAGUAUGUUUAAAUUUAUAACUCAAAUCCAAUGAUUUAAUUGCUAAUUUGAGAAUGGAAUGGUACUGUUUAUGUCAAGUGUUCAUUUUCUUCUUAUUUGUGUACAACUUUAAUAACAUGUCAGAAUGCUAUUAAGUACUAUUCCACCAGUCCAAGAGUAAUUCCUUUUCCUUAGAAUUUUCGAUAGCUUCUUGGGGGCGUAGAAGGCUUAUUAAUAUACAGAUUUUGUUAAGUAUAAGCUCAAUAGAAGUAGUCCGGUGUUAAGUAAAUUCCUUGUCAUCAUGUACAUACGGGGUUGUUCCAAAUUGUGCAACAUAGGACUAAAAAGAACUUUUUCUUUGAGGUAAUUACCUUCACGCUCAAGGUUCUCUUAUUUGCCAGAAGAAAAUAAUAAUAAGAGUUCCGCGAUGAAAAAUUCCCAUGUCAUAAUAGAUUGCUCCGCUCGUAAGGUUUGAAAUCAAAUGUUCAAUCACACUACAACGUUGCAUAUAUAGGUUAGUAAGUUGAGCGCAAAUGAUGUCAGUAUUAAUUAUGACACCCACAAGCGGAACACUAUUCAGAUUACGGAAACCUUCAUAUUUCGGGGGUGGUGUAGGCAUACAGUGACUUAGAUCAGAUGAGUCAAUUCUGAACAUGAAAACAAAUAAGAUGGUAUUUUGUAGGCACUGGUUGUACGAUUGUGAAGUUUCACUUCCCUAACUCCACAGUUUGAUAUGUUUUUAAUCCAAAUAUCUAUAUCUGAAUAGAGAUGAAGAGGCAGAUCAUUAGGAUUGCAAAGAAUAAACUUCAAUAUGAGACCUCCACGAGAUAAAAGAAUACUGCUGCCGGUUAUUGAAAAUUCAUAAAGUAAGUUUAGUUUCUCUAAUUCUGAAAGGAAACCUCUGAGAAAGCCGGUUGAAGAAAAGGUCAUCAAAAACUAGGUGUGAGUGCAUUUCCCAUUUACCCCUCUAUUUUUUUGAGAGAAUGCUCAUUCUUGCUACACAGUCAACCGG
rnacentral:lncRNA from 1 species